rnacentral:rRNA from 1 species
CCUACGGGUGGUAGCAGUGGGGAAUAUUGGGCAAUGGGCGCAAGCCUGACCCAGCAACGCCACGUGAAGGAAGAAGGCUUUCGGGUUGUAAACUUCUUUUCUCAGGGACGAAGCAAGUGACGGUACCGGAGGAAUAAGCCACGGCUAACUACGGGCCAGCAGCCGCGGGAAUACGGAGGUGGCAAGCGUUAUCCGGAUUUACUGGGUGUAAAGGGCGGGUAGGCGGGGACGAAAGUCAGAGUUGCAAACCACGGGCUCAACCGGUGGCCUGCAUUGGAAACUGUGUUUCUUGCGUACUGGAGCGGCAGACGGAAUUCCUAGUGUAGCGGUGAAAUGCGUAGAUAUUAGGAGGAACACCCGUGGCGGCGGCGGUCUGCUGGACCGCAACUGACGCUGAGGCGCGAACGCGUGGGGAGCAAACAGGAUUAGAUACCCUGGUAGUC